rnacentral:rRNA from 1 species
GUUUGAUCCUGGCUCAGGACGAACGCUGGCGGCGUGCCUAACACAUGCAAGUCGAGCGAAGAAGUCCCUUCGGGGAUGGAUUAGCGGCGGACGGGUGAGUAACACGUGGGUAACCUGGCUCAAAGAGGGGGAUAGCCUCCCGAAAGGGAGAUUAAUACCGCAUAAAAGGUAAAUAUCGCAUGGUAAAUACCUUAAAGGAGAAAUCCGCUUUGAGAUGGGCCCGCGUCGCAUUAGCUAGUUGGAGGGAUAAAAGCCCCCCAAGGCGACGAUGCGUAGCCGACCUGAGAGGGUGAACGGCCACAUUGGAACUGAGAUACGGUCCAGACUCCUACGGGAGGCAGCAGUGGGGAAUAUUGCACAAUGGGGGAAACCCUGAUGCAGCAACGCCGCGUGAGUGAAGAAGGUUUUCGGAUCGUAAAGCUCUGUCAUCCGGGACGAUAAUGACGGUACCGGAAGAGGAAGCCACGGCUAACUACGUGCCAGCAGCCGCGGUAAUACGUAGGUGGCGAGCGUUGUCCGGAAUUACUGGGCGUAAAGGGUGUGCAGGCGGAUAUUUAAGUGAGAUGUGAAAGACCCGGGCUUAACCCGGGCAGUGCAUUUCAAACUGGAUAUCUAGAGUGCAGGAGAGGAGAACGGAAUUCCUAGUGUAGCGGUGUAAUGCGUAGAGAUUAGGAAGAACACCAGUGGCGAAGGCGGUUCUCUGGACUGUAACUGACGCUGAGGCACGAAAGCGUGGGUAGCNAACAGGAUUAGAUACCCUGGUAGUCCACGCCGUAAACGAUGAGUACUAGGUGUAAGGGGGUAUCGACCCCCCCCUGUGCCCCGUAAACACAAUAAGUACUCCCGCCUGGGAAGUACG